UACGUAGGGACCGAGCGUUGUCCGGAUUCAUUGGGCGUAAAGAGCUCGUAGGCGGUCUGUCGCGUCUGCUGUGAAAAUCAGGGCUCAACCCUGGACCUGCAGUGGGUACGGGCAGACUAGAGUGCGGUAGGGGAGAUCGGAAUUCCUGGUGUAGCGGUGAAAUGCGCAGAUAUCAGGAGGAACACCGGUGGCGAAGGCGGAUCUCUGGGCCGUAACUGACGCUGAGGAGCGAAAGCAUGGGGAGCAAACAGG
rnacentral:rRNA from 1 species